rnacentral:tRNA from 1 species
GGAGAAGUCGCCUAGUUGGUCGAGGGCGCGCGACUGGAAAUCGCGUAACCGUCACAAGCGGUUCAAGAGUUCGAAUCUCUUCUUCUCCG